rnacentral:tRNA from 1 species
UGUAAGGUUCUCAACACA